UACGUAGGGGGCAAGCGUUGUCCGGAUUUAUUGGGCGUAAAGAGCUCGUAGGCGGUUUGGUAAGUCUGGUGUGAAAUCUCCACGCUCAACGUGGAGGGGCCACCCGAUACUGCCAUGACUGGAGUCCGGUAGAGGAGUGUAGAAUUCCCGGUGUAGCGGUGAAAUGCGCAGAUAUCGGGAGGAACACCCGUAGCGAAGGCGGCACUCUGGGCCGGUACUGACGCUGAGGAGCGAAAGCGUGGGGAGCAAACAGG
rnacentral:rRNA from 1 species